rnacentral:rRNA from 1 species
AACGAACGCUGGCGGCAUGCCUAACACAUGCAAGUCGAACGAGACCUUCGGGUCUAGUGGCGCACGGGUGCGUAACGCGUGGGAAUCUGCCCUUGGGUGCGGAAUAACAGUUAGAAAUGACUGCUAAUACCGCAUAAUGACUCCGGUCCAAAGAUUUAUCGCCCAAGGAUGAGCCCGCGUCGGAUUAGCUAGUUGGUGAGGGAAAAGCUCACCAAGGCGACGAUCCGUAACUGGUCGGAGAGGAUGAUCAGCCACACUGGGACUGAGACACGGCCCAGACUCCUACGGGCGGCAGCAGUGGGGAAUAUUGGACAAGGGGCGAAAGCCUGAUCCAGCAAUGCCGCGUGAGUGAUGAAGGCCUUAGGGUUGUAAAGCUCUUUUACCCGGGAUGAUAAUGACAGUACCGGGAGAAUAAGCCCCGGCUAACUCCGUGCCAGCCGCCGCGGUAAGAC